rnacentral:misc_RNA from 1 species
UUUUUAUUUUUUUUUUGAAAAAGAGUGCAUUAAAAUCCAGAUCUUUCUUGAAUUUGAAAAAAAAAUGUUUUUGUGGGAUUGGUUUUAUGGAGUUUUGUCAUCUCUAGGUUUGUGGCAAAAGGAAGCUAAGAUCUUAUUCUUAGGUCUUGACAAUGCUGGCAAAACCACUCUUCUUCAUAUGCUCAAAGAUGAGAGGCUAGUUCAGCAUCAACCAACGCAGUAUCCUACAUCUGAAGAGUUGAGUAUUGGAAAGAUAAAGUUCAAAGCUUUCGACUUGGGAGGUCAUCAGAUUGCUCGUCGGGUCUGGAAAGACUACUAUGCCAAGGUUGAUGCAGUUGUGUACCUAGUUGAUGCAUAUGACAAAGAGCGCUUUGCUGAGUCAAAAAAGGAACUUGACGCGCUUCUUUCUGAUGAAGCCCUUGCUACUGUCCCCUUCCUCAUUUUGGGAAACAAG